rnacentral:rRNA from 1 species
UACGUAGGCGGAAUAUUAAGUCAGUGGUGAAAUCCUGCGGCUCAACCGUAGAACUGCCAUUGAUACUGAUAUUCUUGAAUAUAGUUGAGGUAGGCGGAAUGUGUAAUGUAGCGGUGAAAUGCUUAGAUAUUACACAGAACACCGAUUGCGAAGGCAGCUUACUAAGCUAUGAUUGACGCUGAGGUACGAAAGCGUGGGGAGCGAACAGGAUUAGAUACCCUGGUAGUCC